UCCUUUUUUCAUGUUGGCUUUUCUGGUACACGUCCAGCUAGCUGAGAGUGACGUGGAUAGAGUGCGGAUUCAUCCUCUUGGAAUUGCCAUGGCAAUUGUGUUGACAAUAAAUCUCACCAUUUGCCACAAUAAUGUUUCACUUCCCUUAGUUUCUUUCUGCAUCAUCCUCAUCCUCUUCUUCUACCUGAAACUGUGUCCAACCACAACCACAAAUUUUCCUCCCUAAGUAAUAAAAGUAAUAAAUCAUGAUCAAUAGAGCGCAAUCUAAGCUUUGUUAUGCAAUGUUCUAAAUUAUCCUAAAAAUGCAAAUGUAUUUACUUAAUUUCAAAUAAUUAAUUCCAUCUAGAGACCUAGAAUAUAACUCUUUUUAAGAGUUAUCAUACCACCUAGAAAACUAAUACCAAACUUGCAUUUUAUUUCUAGUUUAAAAACUAAAGUCUCAGAAAUUAUCAGUACCUAUCAUGAAGUAUCGAUAAAUUUACAGGAGUAUCGAUACUCGAGCAAAGGUAUCAAUACAAAAUCUCUAUUUUAACUUCCUAUACGUUUUAAAACACAAAGCUAUCAAUUUUAAAACCCGAUUAUCGAUACCUCUGCCAAAACCUUAAGAAUGCAACAUAAAUCAACAGUUAAUCCAUUCCAAUUUAGUUCUUAAACAUUAUACAUCAAUUACUUCUACAAAUAAUCAUUCAACGGCCUAAUUAAAAGUUCAAUAUCAUAAAAUCGUUUUUGAGCAAGUAAUGUCAAUCCAUCCUCAUGUUCAUGUACCCAAGCAUAACAAUUAACAUGUAAUCCUCAUAAACCGAACCAAAAACUAGAAAAAGGUCUAGAACUUAACAUGGCAAUAAACAAGUCUACCACAUUGCCUCAUUCCCCAAAAUGUAAAUACAUAUAGAACACCUACGAAAUAACAAAUAGACUUGCUUGGAUCACCUUUCAGAAACCACACCACUCACACCGACACUUUACUACUCUACAAGGGUUUUAAGAAAUAUGUGAGUGAGCUUAACAAGCUCAGUGAAUACCUUGAAUAACUACCAUGCAAACAAUUCAUCAAGCAUGAACGAAACAAUAUAUAACACAACCUCAACAGUUCCAACACUAAUGUCAUAAUAUACUUACUCGUGCAUUAUUUUCUAGUUCUUUUACAUGGUAAACAUAUUCACUUUUAAGCAUAUAUCCUAUUACACACAUAUUCACCUGACAUCCAAGCAUAUAUCACAAUACUCAUAUAAUCACAUAAUAUUUUAAGCAUAUAUCACAAUACUCAUAUAAUCACCUAACAUCCAAGCAUAUAUCACAAUACUCAUAUAAUCACAUAACAUUUUAAGCAUAUAUCACAAUACUUGUAUAAUCACCUAACAUCCAAGCAUAUAUCACAAUACUCGUAUAAUCACAUAGCAUUCAAGCAUAUAUCACGGUGUACAUAUAAUCUCAUAACAUUUAAGCAUAUAUCACAAUACUCGUAUAAUCACAUAACAUUCAAGCCUAUAUCACAAUAUACAUAUAAUCUCAUAAAAUUUAAGAAUAUAUAACAAUACUCAAAACAUCUUUAUAGAUAAAUUGCAUAAUGCUUGCAUGUCAUAUAAACAUAUAUCACAAUACACACAUAUUCAUAAUUUAAGAUAAUUUGGCACUUAAGUUAUGAAACAUAAAAGUUAGCUCUAUCAUCACUCACCGGAUACACGGAUCUCCAACACAUCACAUAGACUCAUAGAGUCAAACAUAUCCUAAAAGUGAAGCAUAAAACUAACAGUCUCCUUAUUUCGCCUCACAUGUCUCAUUGAAUGGAGCUUAGCUCACAUUCCCUUAUCCCUCCAACAUGUAUUAGGGCCUCAACGCCCAAAAUCACUGUACAUAUAGGUGAGUACUCACAAUCCUAUGGCAUGCCAACUAUAUUCAGCGGUUUCAAGAUUACAAGGCCAAAAUAUCUUAAAUCAAACACAUAUCACUUACCGAUUAUCCGUGUACUAUCACUGCAUAUUUGCAUUAUUAGCAAAACACUGCCAGUAACAUAACCUAUACAUAAAAUGUACACAUUUGAACUUUCACAGCAGUUAUCAUAACCACAUAUCACAUGUUAUAGCAUCUCAUCACAAUUUACAUAUUCACAAACACAUAAGCACAUAGUUCACAAGAUAACAUAGGUACGACAAAGCUUAUACUCAGAAUGUAGUGUAGGGUUUAGGCUACUACUAAAUUCCCAAAUAACACAUUGACUCAUGUCCACAAGCAAUUAUUCCAAACAGUCACCAAUUACGCUUUCGUCAAAAAUUCGAAACCUCAAACUAGCUUUUCCUUACCUUUACCUCUACUUGUAGAAGGUCCUAUAGAAUCUAGAACUUCAACACAACAAUGCAUUCAAUAAUCAACUAAGAACUCACCACAAGCAAUAAAAAAUAUAUGUCUCAACUAAGUUCUCAUGUAAUCGAAACCUUUAACCUAGCCAACUUAAAACCCAAAUAUCUUGGUUUAUACCCAAUAUUUUUGCCUAAAACCAAUUACGCUUAUCUUAUAAUUCACCUAUGACUAAUUUCCAUCUUAUAAUUCAUAAUAUCGACUUUUUCAAUAUUUUUUAUGACUAUUUCUCGAAAAUUCAUUAAAACUUAAGAAUUCUUUAAUGAAACUUCAAAGUAAGCUUAGAAACCUCUUAAUCAUGUCAAAAUAAGCUAAAAACACUUUGAAACCAUAUUUUUAUGCAAAAUCCUGAAAUCCACCAUUAACAAGCCAAUUUUUUACUUUUAUUCAAAACUUGCGAUUUAAUGACUAAAUAACAUUUAAAACUAAUGGGAAGAUGACUCGAUACCUUAGCUGGUGGAAAAUAAAGCGUUUGAUUGAAAACCUAAAAAACUCGAAAGCUUGACAAUAGAGAAAACUAUGGUGUUUUUAGGUGUUUUUUUUAACUUCGAUGGAGAUUCACAGCUUGAGAGAUGAUAGAAACCAAAGGAAUUAGGAUUUGGAAUUCAAAAUCGAUUGAUAGAGUUAAGAGAACGAUAGAUGGCACAAAUAUGAAAGGAGAAGAAGACUAACGUGAAAAUAAAACUAUAAAUAGGGUUGUUAGGUUGGAUUUUAAAAUUUGGUCUAAUUGCCUCUUAAAAACUCUAAGUUUUGACCCUUUUACAAAUCAGUCCUUUUUAAAAAAUUAAAUAUAUAUAAAACUCAUUUUCAGAAAUUGAUUUAAUUUUCUAAAAACCAUAGUAAAAAACAUUACCACUAAACCAUGUCGCAAAAUUUCGAACACUCUAAGUCUAAAAUUCCCAUUUUACCCUCAAAACUUCUCAGCCCAAUUUUUGCGUGUUAUAACGGCCACCUGAAGGCUAUAAAUAGGCCCCUUUUGGUACAUGUUCUAGAAGUUAUUUUAGAUGCACACGGGUUUUCACACGCCCAUGUACAACAUACAGUCACCCCACACGGCCAUGUGGCCUAUUUGAUUUUUGGUGCAGGUUUGUUCACACGGUCUAGAGACACAGCCGUGUGUCCCCUUUACAUGGCCUGAGCUCUUGCACAUGGUUUGGCCACACAACCAUGUCUUUCAGCCGCACGGUGUGGGCUCUGCCACACGACCGUGUGACCUUUAGUUUCAUUUUAGUCCCUAAUUAUUUCCAAACUGAUUUAAGGAUAUGUAAACUUGAUUUAAGACUCGUAUUCAUAUAUAUGCCAUGAAUAAUGAUUGAUUAUGAAUGUUUGAUAUUUAAAUUAUUUUUGAAUUGUAGUAGAUUGUUUUUCAAUUCAUUAAUUGUUGUAAUACUUCUUAACCUUAAUCUGAUGACGGAGACGAGUUAGAAGUGUUACUAACUUGAUGCACCUAAGAUUGCAUUAAGGACAUGGUAUGUCACUACGAGUUCCUAGUGAUGCUCUUUGGUCUGACGAAUGCUCCAAUUACUUUCACUAACUUAAUGAAUCGGCUAUUUCAGCCUUAUCUUGAUCAUUUUGUUGUGGUCUUCAUCAACGACAUUUUGAUCAAUUCUAAGUUUGAAUCAAAGCAUGACGAGCACUUGAGAGUUGUUUUGGAGAUCCUACGUGAGAAGAAGCUUUAUGUUCAGUUGAGUAAAUGCAAAUUCUGGCUUAAAGAAGUGAUAUUUUUUGGGCACAUGGUAUUGGAUGUGGGUAUCUGUGUUGAUCCAAAGAAGAUUGAGGCUAUUCUGGAUUAGAAGUAGCCUAAGAAUGUUAGUGAAAUCCGGAGUUUACUUGGUUUAGCUAGUUAUAAUAUGAGGUUUGUGGAAGGAUUUUCUUUGAUUGCGGCUCCUAUGACUAAGCUAUUGAAGAAGAGUCCUCCUUUUAAAUGGAUUGAGAAGCAACAAGCUAGUUUUGAAAAGCUUAAGUCCAUGCUAGCUCAAGCACCUGUUCUGAUUCAACCUGAAUGGUUUAUAGUGAUGCAUCUUAUACCAGUCUUGAUUCUGUGUUGAUGCAUGAUGGUAAGGUUGUGGCUUAUGCAUCAAGACAACUUAAACUACAUGAGUGCAAUUACUUAACUCACGACCUUAAGCUAACAGCAGUGGUUUUUACCCUUGAUAUUGUGAGAUAUUAUCUAUAUGAUGAGAAGUGUAUCAUUUAUACGGAUCACAAGAACCUUAAGUACUUUUUCUCCCAAAAGGAGUUAAACUUAAGGCAGUAGAAAUGGAUAGAGUUGCUUAUGGACUAUGAUUGUACCAUUGAGUACCAUCUAAAGAAAGCUAAUGUCGUGGUAGAUGCAUUGAGUAGGAGGUCGUUGAUCGAUUUGAGAGUGAUGUUCAUUAAGCUGAGCUUGUCUGAAGAAAGAGGUUUGCUUGCGGAGUUGCAAGUAAAACCUACUUUGGUGGGUUAGAUUAAGAUGAAGAAACCAUGCAUCUCUUGUGCCUCAAAUUAAUCAGAUUGAGGAGGGUAAGACUACAAAAUUUGGGUUUAAUUCUGAUGGAGUCUUGUGUUAUCGUUGGAGGUACUAUAUGCCUGAUGAUAAAGAUGUGAUAUAGUCUAUCCUUUGAUAAGUGCAUAAUAGUCCUUAUGCUAUGCAUCCUGAAGGGAAUAAGAUGUAUUGGGAUAUGAGAGAACUGUAUUGGUGGUCACGUCUUAAGCAUGAGGUAACUGAGUUUGUGGCUAAGUGUUUGACGUGCCAGCAUGUUAAGGCUGAGCAUCAGUUCCCUUUUAACUUGAUACAGCCUAUUCAAAUUCCUCAAUAGAAGUAGGAGUGUGUGACUAUGGAUUUUGUUAGUGGGUUGCUUUUAAAACCUACUAAGAAGGAUUCAAUCUAGGUGAUUGUGGAUAGACUAACUAAGUCAGCUCAUUUCUUGCCUACCCGUACAGAUUUUUCAUUGCAAAAGUUAGCAAAGUUUUACAUCUCUGAGAUUGUGAGACUGCAUGGGGUAUCGAUAUCUAUCAUUACAGGCUGGGAUCCUCGAUUUACAUCUUGAUUUUGGAAAAAAUUAGGCUCUAGGUACUCAAUUGAACUUUAGCACGGCUUUUCAACCACAAUCUGAUGGACAGUCUGAUCGAGUUAUCCAUAUUCGUGAGGACAUGUUGAGGGUAAGGGUGUUUAAACAGUUAACCAAUAUCUUAGCUGAACCGAACUAGAAUUAAUCGAAUUAAUUGAACCUUUUAACCCUUUAACUGUUAACCAAACAUAAAUUUUUUUUAAAAAAUUCGAACCGAAAUUUAUAUGUUUUUCUUUGGUAAAAAUAAGUAUAAAACAUAUAAAAAUAAUUUAUAAUAUUCAUUUGACAGAAUUAACCGAACUAGUAAUAGCCUAAUACAUAUAAUAAUAUUAUUUAUUAAGUUCGAUUAAUUUAUUUAAUUACCCAAUUUCUAACCUAAUUAAACAUUAACCAAAUUUUCAAAAAAACCUUUAACCGACUUCUGACUGAAAGAGAUCGGUCAACCGAUCGAUUAACUAAAUUAGAUCGGUUCGAUCGGUUAAUUCAAUUUUAAUCGAAGUUUGAACAUCCCUAGUUGAGAAGUUGUGUAAUCAAUUAUCAAGGUAGUUAGGAGGAGCAUUUUCCAUUAGCAGAGUCUGCAGAUAAUAAUAGCUUUCAGUCAAGCAUUCAAAUGGCACCCUAUGAAGCACUGUAUGGGCGUAGGUGUUGGACACCUCUGUGUUUGACCAAGUUAGGGAAGAAGAAAGUAUUAGGCCCAAAUUUAGUUCAGGAGUCUAAGAAUAUUGUCAAGUCGAUACAGGAUCGGUUGAUAGCGGCAUCAGAUCGACAAAAAUCCUACAUUGAUUUGAAGAGUAAAGAUAUAGAGUUUAGUGUUGAGGAUCAGGAUCCUUAAGAAGAUUGGGCUAGUAGCUUAUUAGUUGGAGCUACCUCCGUAACUGGACCAUAUACACAACGUGCUCUAUGUUUCUAUGCUGAGGUGGUAUCGAUUUGACCCAUAUCAUGUGGUUCUAAUUGAAGAUAUCGAUGUGAGACUAGAUUUAUCGGCUGGGGAGGAAUUAUUCAGGUAUUGGAUCAUGAGGUUAGGGUGAUAAGGAAACAGCAUAUUCCACUACUAAAGGUGUUAUGGCAAAAUCAUGGAACUAAGAAGACUCGAUUCAUCCAAUAUCCUCAUCUAUUUUGAAAAGGUAAAUUUCGAGGAAGAAAUUUUUUGUAAGGAUGGUAGAGUUGUCACGACCCAUGUCUUUUAUGUAUUUUUUUCUAGUUCAUGAACAAGUGAUUUAUUUGGCCUAGUAGUUAAGAGCAUAAUUAAAUUUCCUUAGGUCCCAUGUUUAAUUCUCCGCUCCAUCAUAUUUUUUUAAAAAAAAACCAGCAUUAAAAUCUUUGGUCAACACCCCUUAGUCGUCCCUUCGUUUUAUCUAUAAAAAAAUAGAUUCUUUCCUCCCUUGAAUCACUCCACUUUCCCACCUUAUUCCCUUUUAUAAUCCAUUUGUUCCUCUACUUGAUCAACAAUUCACCCCUCUGUCCCCCAUUUUUUUCCAAAAUGUGAGAGUUUGACUAGGGUAGACGUCCAACCCAUUGUAGCCACACUCAUCUUUUUGUUUUUAAUUUGGCAAACACUCUCCCUUCUCUCUCUUUUCUCCUCCUUUGCAACCACCUUGUGUCGCCCCCUUUUUGGUUGUUCUCCUCAACCAUUUUUUUUCUUUUAUUUUUUGUAAUAAUUAUCUAUUCAGCCACCAUACACCACUCUUUCACCUUUUAGCCUCCACCACCUCCUGAAGCCGCCAUCACCACCACCCUUCACCACUAUUUCGUUCUUUCUUAUCAUCUCUUCACUCUUUUAUGUCCCUCUCUUUUUCAUUGUUUUAUUUUCACUCCAUUUCCUUAUGCCACAUUAAAUUGUCGCCCCUAUUUCCUCCCUUUUGUAUUGUCCGCCACCGUGAUCGCCAUCGGCCAUCGUCGAAUAACCACCGUACAUCAAUAAUUUUCCUUUCUUUUUCUUGCUCCAUUCUCAAACUAAUUUUAUUUUGAUUAUAACAUCCAUAUAUAUGUUCUUUCUAGUCGUAUGAUAUUUUAGAUAUCAUUGUCAUCGCUCCUAGUCCUCAAUGAUCAUCACUAUUAUGCCAAUUUAUUAAGAUCUUAAUUACUUUAAAUACUAGAUAUCAUCAACUUUUUCUAACCUGUAGAAGUGAUGACCGAAUGUUAACUUUGUACUUUUGGGUUGAAGGAUUGUUGUAGAAGCAUUCAAACUUCCAUGUUUUAGAUGGUGGAAUUAUACCUAAUCGCAAAAGUGUAAGUGUUAUCGAUACGAUCGAUUUUCUAUUCGGAUCUCAUAUGUUUGGACUUAUUAUCGUGAUAACUAAGAAUAUUAUCAAAAUAUUAAUACCUAGAUUUGGAUCAUUCUAAGUACCUCGUUUGAGAUUAGAGUUUUGGACAAAGAGAAUAAAUGUGUGUGUCUUAUCUUAAGGAUUUAUGUAUAAAAGUGAAGUUGCAUAAGUUAUUAUUAUUAACUAUAAAAGUUAUUUUAAAUAUGUAAUUGGCAGGAUAUGCCAAUAUAAUAUUUCAAAUGGACUACGGUAUGACCUUAACUAAAAACGUUCAUUUAAAUUGUCUAUUGAUGGAUGAAAUUAUUUGUAUGUUCUAACACUCAUGCUAUGUGAUUUAAUGGAAAGAUUUGACUAAGUAAAAAUUGGUAUCAUGAUAAAUCAUGAACACUGUAUUUUGUUUUGGUAAGUAUGAAAAUAAAAACCAUUCCUACUAUUCUCUGUUAACAAAAUCUAAUUCGCAUGUUAAACAUGCCCACUGAAAAAUUUUUGUUACUGUAUGUCAUAUCACAUUCAUGGGGUUGGGACGAUAUAGAAAGGAGAAAGAUUCUGGCAGUUUAAUGAUCUUCAUAUUCUGGUGGUUUGUCCACAUAUUUGUCUGAACUUGAAGCUUGUCUGCAUUAUUUGGUGUCUUGUCUACAAUUUUAGUGUGUUAUUGGAUGGAUGAGUUCUGGUGAACUCUUUUAUGGUGUGUAGAAGAGUUGGGUAGGGACAUUUUCUGAGAAUUCUACAUUGAUUUCUGAAAAACAUUGUAUGGACGUCAUCAUGCAUACUAAUAUCUUAGACAUUGGAUUGCAUAUAUAUAUUAUUUUAUUUUAUGAAAUGUAUGCUUUAAUUACUAUUGUAGUUAAGUUGAGACUCACACUAGGCUUAUAUAGUUCACUCUUUAGUUUCCUGACAUUUCAGAUUACCCUCAAGGUUUAGAUUUGGACGCGAACUGUUGGAUGAGUACUCAGAUGGUUUUUAUUUUAAUUACUUAGACUCUAUUAUAUGGUAUUUUGGGACUGUUAUUUUUUAUGGACUGUUGCUUGGGAUUGUUUUUUCGGAUUUUCAAGUUAUUCUUGUAUGAUUUAAGGAUUCUAAACUAGUCAUUUAUGUUUUUAUCGAAUAUGCAUGAAAUAAAUCGAAUUUUAACAAAAAUGUGAUUUCAAUUCAAUUUUUUUACUACAAUAAUAUGAAGAUGAUUUUAACAAAAUAUAACAUAUAUUAUUUGAAAUAAUUAAUGUUUUAUUGAUUUCAAAACAUGGUUUUAGUAUAACUUAUGCUGCGUUAUUUUAAAAUCGGUUGUUUAUCUUCAAAUGUUCAAACAUAGUUUUCCUAAAACAUUUAAUCUUUACGAAAGUAACUCCAAAUUCACUUGACGAGUUUAUUGUUGAAAAAUAAUUUAAUUUUCUCAAAACAAAACAAGUAAGACAAAAGCAUUAUUCUUAAAUUGAAAAGGCAAAUAAUUUUAAAGAAAGAAUUAAACAAUAAUAUUUUUCGGACCAAUCCAAUGGUCAAGUAGCCUUUAGCAUUGAACUAUAAUGUUUAGACCGAAUUUGAGAGGUUACUCUCAAUUCUUAUACCAAAUUUACAAGGGCAUAUUAUUUUCAAUUAAUGGUUCAUUUCAUGUUACUAACAAAUGGAAAAACACAUAAUUACUCAUAUAUUCAAUUUUGCAUAUACCUGUCUCAAAAUAUUAUAUAGUUUCACAUAAUUAAAAUUUCCAAUAUUAUAUAUACAUAAUCAGAUUCCAAAACCAGUGUUAAUACUUUUCUCAACUAAACUCAAAUCAUAUCAUAUUUAAACCUGUCAUCAAGCUUUACUGCAUAUUCACAUAUCCAAGUUACUAAUUCCACUAUAAUAAUGCAUAUUUAAUUAUGACAUUUGCACUCAAUCAUCUUCUUAACAUAUAUAUCAAGCCAUAUCCUCAUUUCAUAAAUAAUUAUAGAAAUAAUAAACAAUUUAAAUGUAAUAACUAAUCACUCCAACAACUAAGUAAGAUAAAUUCCAACAUAACUUACCCUCAAAACAACGAAAAUAGAAGAAAUCACCUUCUUUCUUUAAUCCACAAUUUUCCCCUUACCUUUGCUAGGAGCUCCUGUCUCGACUUUUAAUAUUAAAAAAAGAAAAUAAAUACAAUCAUAAAUACUAAUAUUAAAUUUUCAUAUUAAUAGCUUAACCACAUUGAAAGCAUAAAAAUGUAAAAUAAGCGCAACGAGAUGAGGAGUGCUUCAAUCUCUUACAUUCCUUGAGAUUUUUUCUCAUUAACCAAGUUUUCUCACACUGCUAAACCAAAACCCUAGGUCGUGGGUGAUGAGAAAGGAUAAGAAGAAUGGCUCAAAUAGAGUCUCUUUAAGGUGGGUUCAAAACAACUAAAGUUAAUAGAGAUCUUUUAGUGAAAAGUGGAGGAAAAUAGCAGAGGAAAAAAAAGUUUUCUCUCUUGCAAUGGUGGUGGCUGACGCAAUACAGACAGAAUGGUGGGAUUUUCUUCCGCAUUUUCUCACUUUUUGAUUUUUAAAAGACAAGGAAAAGUCAAUGGGUCAAGCAUAAUAAUAUUUAUGUGGCC
rnacentral:lncRNA from 1 species